UACGUAGGCAGCGAGCGUUGUUCGGAAUUACUGGGCGUAAAGAGUGUGUAGGCGGUGCUCCCAGUCUGUUGUGAAAUCUCCCGGCUUAACUGGGAGGGUGCAGCGGAAACUAGAGUGCUAGAGGGUGGGAGAGGUAAGCGGAAUUCCUGGUGUAGCGGUGAAAUGCGUAGAUAUCAGGAGGAACACCUGCGGUGUGGACGGCUUUCUGGACCAUUGCUGACGCUGAGACACGAAAGCGUGGGUAGCAAACAGG
rnacentral:rRNA from 1 species